rnacentral:rRNA from 1 species
GAUGAACGCUAGCUACAGGCUUAACACAUGCAAGUCGAGGGGAAACGAUAGAGAAAGCUUGCUUUUUCUAGGCGUCGACCGGCGCACGGGUGAGUAACGCGUAUCCAACCUGCCCAUCACUUGGGGAUAACCUUGCGAAAGUAAGACUAAUACCCAAUGACGUCUCUAGAAGACAUCUGAAAGAGAUUAAAGAUUUAUCGGUGAUGGAUGGGGAUGCGUCUGUUUAGCUUGUUGGCGGGGUAACGGCCCACCAAGGCAACGAUCAGUAGGGGUUCUGAGAGGAAGGUCCCCCACAUUGGAACUGAGACACGGUCCAAACGCCUACGGGAGGCAGCAGUGAGGAAUAUUGGUCAAUGGACGAGAGUCUGAACCAGCCAAGUAGCGUGCAGGAUGACGGCCCCAUGGGUUGUAAACUGCUUUUAUAAGGGAAUAAAGUGGGAGUCGUGACUCCUUUUGCAUGUACCUUAUGAAUAAGGACCGGCUAAUUCCGUGCCAGCCGCCGCGGUAA